ensembl:lncRNA
CUGGCUCACUAGCAACCAAAGUGAUGUCUGCCAAGGCAGUUAUCUGAACGCUGUGCUGGAAGUAACAUGGCCUAAAUGAGGGACUUCACUCCAUCCUGAUAGCCUCGCACCAUGUUCCCCUUUCUCAACAAUCAACUCUUUUUUUUUUUAAUUUUCAGGCGUUCCAGGAUCAGAUAUCAUUAAAGGUCCCGGCAUUCAGUGUGCUACGCACCAACUCUCUCAUAGCAUUUGAGGCAAAGAAACGAAGGAGGUGACAGGCAUGAGAAAGUCUAGAUGGAGGAGAUCAAACCAGCAGUGAAGUCUGUCCCGUUCUUUUAUGAAGAGACAUCCUGAAGAGACUUGCUGUAGUCAAACAUUCCUGCACUGGCAAGUGCUGUAUAUCUGAGGAGACUUGUGGUAUGCUGUUGUCCCUGUGCUGGAGUAUUUCGCUGGGAGAAGCUUUUGGUUUGCCUCCUAGAUUGGUCAGAAUGUGGCUGCUCUAUCCUACAUGGCCAAGGGGAAAGAAUAGCCAUGAGAUACUUCAGAAGAGACAGCACGAUCUGGUGGUGGGAUGCAGAGGUCUGAAGUCUCUUUCUUGCUCUGUCAAGCAUGUGCUCUUCAGGUUUGGUGCAGACUUGUCUGCUGGAGCUGGACCCUGCAGCUCCCCUGACAGCGUCUGGACCCAAACUGCUCAAGCAGCUAGUCUCCCAGUUCAGCCAGCACCACCAGCCAGGUAAGAGGCAACAGAGUGCUUUGCAAUGGUGAGGAGCAGGAAGGGCUGUGCAGAUUGCUGCCAGGGCCAAGGGCAUGGAGCUCGCUCAGCUUUUGUCUCCCUUUUCUAUGCAUCUCACCAGUUUCAAAAGGGCUGGAAGUUUCCUAGAAAAUCUUGAGCCUCUUGUCCGUAGCUCCUUCACAGCUGUGUUUGCUAAGGGUCCCUUGUUCAGCCCCUUGUCCUUUCAGACUACACUCCUCUUUUCACCUUCUCUUGUUUUCUUCUCAUGUCUGUCGCUUUCUUUCUCACCUCUGGAGGAGAGCAUGUGCUGGUAUUCCUUCACAGGCAGAUGCAGUAUCAGCCACUGUUUUCCCCUCUGAGCCACAUCAAGAGGUUUACAUGUCCCCUGGUACCCCCCCAAACCCUGCAUUCUGCUGCUGCAUGCUGAUGCUGAGGUCUCUCCUGUUUGUCUUCUGUUGCUCUACUCAAGUAACCUGCGCCUUGUUUCCUUGCACAUUUUAAUGUCUUUUGGAGGUUAAAAAAAAAAAAAAGCAAUUAUAGCAAUACAAGAAUAGUGGUUUUGUAUUCCUGUUUGACUGCUCCUGGGAUGCUUUCACAUGUGGCAGGCAUACUCAGACAAUCAAUCAUGUGCAUCCACAAAGCGUAGCUGUAAAAUAGUGCCUGACAGAUGAAGAUGUCUCUUCCUUCUCUUCUGUGCUGUGUUUAGGAGACUUUCAGAACUCCUGCUUUUGUUGUGCCAGCUCGCUUCCCCUUCCCGACCCCCAGGCAUGUUCUAUUGGAUAGGAUAAAAGCAGAUACGGUGCAUCUUGUGAAAAUUAAACAUUAGCGUCUUCUUUUUCACUGCUGUUCCUCUUUGGAGCUAGGAGGUAGACAAGGUCAACGGAUGCUCAUAAACAUGAAAUAAAAUUGGGAGAGAGAUGGUUUACA